CUAAGCGGGAGUUGUUUGUCGAAGUUCUUUCCUGUUAGAAACUGAAAGUAAAUUCGACAACUUUUCUUCUUUCUGUGGCUCCACCAAGGUUGUUCGACUUGCAAGACAGCAGGAUAAAUGAUUGAUAUGGGACCAGACCAGUCCUCUUCAGGAUUGUGAGACCUCCUCUCUGAGAGUUAUAAUGAGUUAUCAUCAGGGGGCUGAGGGUGGAGCCAUCCCUAAAGAAAGACAUAAGGAUGGGUCACCAAACAAGGAUCUUGAUGAGACCAUGGACCCUGAUAUGAAGAGGACAGGAGAGGUGGUCUGUGAUAUCUGCUCUGAGGUCCAAGCGGUGAAGUUCUGUCUGACCUGCAGUGUGUCCUACUGUGGGACCCACAUCAGACAGCACUAU